CCCCGCCUGGCCCGGCCCGGGCGGUGUCUGGGUCUGGCUGGGGAGGGUGAAGUCGGUGAACUCGAACUCGGAGCCCUGUGUGUCCGCGCCGAGCAGCUCGGCCUCCUCGGUGUCCAGGAAGAUCAGAAGCUGGAAUUCACGGGCCAGAACCACAAGAAGAGGAGAAAUGCGAGUGAAUUCAUAUUUCAAACGACGUUUUCUGCUUCCAGGAGGUGAAAACGUGCAGCGCAGCUGGGCCAUUUCUGCUGAGUUACCACGAGAGGGACACAGAAGGAAAGCUAAAGGAGCUGGGAAAGAAAGAAACAAUCCAAGGAACAGCUCGAGGUGGGCUCAGAGCAACACAUUUCCCUUUUGUUUGGGAAUUUCCGGGAUCACAGCGUUCCUACAGCUCCCUCCAUCCCAUAAAAUCCUAAAAAAUCUUCACAGGUUUAAUUGUGGGCAUAGAAAUAUUCCCAGAGCAAGUCACGAGGAUGCAACUCCAUGAAGGAAAAGGAGGAGAAGAUUUUGGGCCAAAAUCCAGGGAUUUGGAAUGAAGAAAGUUCUUAGAAAUUAAGGAUGCACAAACCUCAGCUGGGGAAAAAUCCCAACAAAGCGAGCAGAGGCAGGGGCACCUGCAGCUGGAAAUGACAAAAAGCUCCUGUUUUAGGAGGAGAUUUAGGACUUGGAUCUCCCCAGGAACAACUUCUCUUCCCGCUGUGAUGGGAGCCAGGAAUGAGCUCAGGCUGUGAGAUCAGAUUUUGCUGAGUCUACAGGCUUGAGCUUGUUCAUUCCUCUUUUCCAGAAGUUCCCCUCUCCCAGCCAUGCCUGGAUAUUUGAUUUCCUUGGGAAAUCUCGGCCCUCUCAGCACCUUUUGUGUCCGGGACGCUCAACCCUGCCAGCAGAAAAUUUGCUUUUGUCAUUCCCAUUUCUCCACCUGAGGCGUGGGGUUCCUGGAAUUGUGUGAGCUUUUCCUGGAAGAAGCGCUGGAGGCCGGAAUGGCUUGUGCAGAAAACUCUCCAAAGCUGCAAAGAUGUCCAGGAGGCAGCUGGAAUUUAGGGAGAGCUCUUGGAAUUGUCUCUCCUGGUGGGUAUUUCUGCAGCUCUUGAUGUCACACCCAACGUGCUCUGGCUCCAGGGGAAGUGCAGGGAAGAACCUGACCCCGUGCUGGCCAAAAGGAGUUGGAAUUUUCUGGAGGGAACGCUGCAGAAACGCAGAGGAUUGAUCUGAUUUCCAUCUGGAAUUCAAAUUAAAGGAAUCUGGGAUCGUGGCAAUCAGGCCAAAUAUGUGCCCUUGCAAUUUUUGGGUGGGAAGAGCAGUUGAGAUGAAGCAAGGGCUGACUCUGGAUCUCUCCACAGCCCACGAUCCUGAGGGUUAUUAUGGAAAAAGAGCAGGUUUGCCCUUGAGGCUGUUUUUCAGCCCUGGGUGGGGUCAGCAGAAGGCACUGCCAGCGCUCUCCAGAGCCAGAUCAUCCCCAGGAGACUUGUGGGGCUGAGAUUUUUCUGGAAAACUCCAGAGGUUUGGAUCAUUCUCCAUCCUCCUUCUUUCUGGAGAGCUUCCCACCCCUUGUGAGCCUGCUCACACCGUUUUUCCAUUCCUCUGAAAAUGACAAAAAACCCCAAAACAAGCCCAGAGCCUGGAUGAUGCUGAAUUUUCCUCUGAGCUCAUCGAGGAUGUCCAAAGCAGCACCAUUUGCAGAUGGGGCCAAGAAUCUGUAAUGUCUCAAAGCUGAGCAAAAUAAAAUGUGUGAGAAGGGCAGCUGAGGGGGUGGCAGCCAGGAAAAAAAUGGAUUUGGGAGCCAGUGGUUGUCCCAAAAGCCAUGAGAGGGUGAAAUGAGCAUUUCCACAUUUCCAUUUCCUGUUUGUUUGAAGCUCUUUAAUGAAUUGGUUUUAUUGGUAUUUGUUAAUUCAACUUCAGGAUGGAGCUGCAGCUCCAGGCUGAGAAGGUUCUCCUGCAUGGAAGUGUUUCCCACUGUUCCCCAGGUUUUGAUUUCUGGGAAAUUCCUCUCUCUUUUUUAUUUGGAAAUUUAUCUUUUUAUUGGAGGAAAUGUUUCUUUGGAGAGAGACAAAGUUCUCCCUGUCCUUCCCCACACCCAGAGCAUCUCUGUGGGUUCAUCCUGGUCACAGCCAGGACCAUCCUUGCUGGAAAAGCUCUGGAAAAGCUCAGGAGAUCCCUGGGAAGGGGACACAGGGUGAGGAACUGACACACCAGGGUCUGUCCAAGGAAUUAGAAGCAGUUUUUGGGAAGGAAAUUUCCUUCUGCUUUGCUGGGGAUGAAAUAGGAGCUGAAAAGGGGGGGACAGGUAAAAAGGAUGGAGCAAAAACUCUGCUCCAGCACCCCCAGAAGAGGAGGAGUUUUAUAAUAAAUCCAUUUUCUUAUUCAACAUUCUCAUUUUGCCUAAGGAUAACGAGAGCACUUCAAAGGACAUCAUGGAAAAUUCCCUCUAUCCCUCUUUUCUUUGUGCUCUUCACAAACCUCCUGAUUCCACAGCAAAAAAAACCAAAAACCCACCAAUCCUGGAGAAUUCUCACUGUAAUUCAGAAAGGUUUUUCUCCCCAUUUUUCCAUAUAAGAAAAAAACCCUUUUUCCUCACACAAGUGUUAAAUGACUCCAAUUAAAACCAAAUCUAAAUGAAUUUAAGUGAAUUUAAUCUCUUCCUGAGACAGAGAAUAUUACAUUCAAUAACCAAUUUAUUUCCCCCCGCUUUUUCCUCUGUCCCACUCUGAAUUUCCAGUUGGGAGAAAGGGAAUUAACACAAAGUGAUCGAUCCUUUCUUCCUCUUCUUACAACUUAAAUCUCAUUUCCAGCAGGGAAAAGGUUUCUGUCUCCUGCCAAGAGCUGGCUGCAAAAUCAUUUGUACUUCUUUGAUCACUGGUGUCCUGAAAAGACCCAAUCCCUGCCUCUGCUGCUUUCCAGCUGUUCAAUUAUCCCAGAUCUCUUCCUGCUGGAUUUGCUGAGGGGUUUUUUAAAUGGAAAAAAAGGAAAAUCGGGAGGGGAAACCCCAGCCCCUGUUGUGGUCAGUGAGAGGAGAAGGAAAAUCAAAAUUAAUUUUGAUUGAUGAAUUAAUUAAAAGUUGUUUUUUUGCUGUGUGUUGAGGAGAUUUGGGCAGGUUUCCUUGUGGUCAGUGAGAGGAGAAGGAAAAUCAAAAUUAAUUUUGAUUGAUGAAUUAAUUAAUAGUUGUUUUUUUGCUGUGUGUUCAGGAGAUCUGGGCAGGUUUCCUUGUGGUCAGUGAGAGGAAAAGGCAGGAGAAGAGGCAUUAAUUUUGAUGAAUGAAUUAAUGAAAAGUUGUUUUUUUGCUGUGUGUUGAGGAGAUCUGGGCAGGUUUCCUUAAGAAAAUCCCUGGCAUGGGGAAAAAUCUCCGGGAAUUCCCUUGGGAUGCCCAGGAAAGGGCAGCUUUUCCACAAUUCCUGGGAAAGGCGGCUCCCAGCUCCCCACUUUUCACCCCUGGGGGGCAGGACAGGCUGGA